UUUGUUUUAAAUAAUCGAUUGUUAUUAUAAGUAAUAUAUCAAAGCUACCCUACAAGACGGAGCUAACUCAUACACCACUACACAUGCAAAUUUUUUCAGCUUUUACCAAUACAGACUCAUUGCUAACAUUUUGUAGUUAAGUGGCAAUCUCGGUAGUUAGAGUAGCAAAAUUCAUUAAUCCUAAUUUUAAGAGAGAGAUACAAUGACCCGUUCAAAAAUCGCCGCCAUGGCCGCUGUUCAUUCGAAAAGAAAAUUUUAGGUGAAUGGAUUUAUACGUGUGUGCACAGCAAAGGAGGAGCAAGGAGGUGACGGUGAAAUUGGGGGAGAUAUUGAAAACACAAAUCUUCUUCUGCCUACGCGGUUAUAGCCGAGUCCACAACAGCGCGCCACGCAUCUCUCCUUUUGUUAGUUAGGCGUCAAUUGGAAAUACCAAGUCAAGACAGGUCCUUCUCCACAUGGUCCUUCCAUCGGAGUGGAGGUCUCCCUCUUCCUCGGCUUCCACCAGCGGGUACCGCAUCGAAAACUUUCAGAGCUGAGGCACUUUCGUCCAUUCGAACAACAUGACCAAGCCCGCGUAGCCGCUGUCUUUUUAUUCGCUGGACUAUGCCUAUGUCGUCAAACAACACAUACAGCUUAUCAUUUCAUCUUCUGCGGUAUUCGCCGUUGCCAAUGUUUAAGGGACCAUAAAUCUUCCGCAAAACCUUUCUCUCGAAAACUCCUAGUACCGUCUCAUCGGAUGUUGACAUCGUCCACGCUUCUGCACCGUAAAGUAGGUCGGGAAUGAUGAGGGACUUGUAGAGUUUAGUUUUUGCUCAUCGAGAGAGGACUUAACUUUUCAAUUGCCUACUCAGACCAUAAACACAAAUACUUUGCACAAAUGGAGGAUUACAAUAGCUACAACUUCAUAAUUUAGAUGUAAAAUAUUAUUAAAUUAUACAAAUGAAUGUUCGAAUACUAAUAACAUUCGUAAUAGUAAUGGAAUUUUAUUUGAAUUGUAUAACA